UCCUACGGGAGGCAGCAGUGGGGAAUAUUGGACAAUGGGGGGAACCCUGAUCCAGCCAUGCCGCGUGUGUGAAGAAGGCCUUUUGGUUGUAAAGCACUUUAAGCGAGGAGGAGGCUACCGAGAUUAAUACUCUUGGAUAGUGGACGUUACUCGCAGAAUAAGCACCGGCUAACUCUGUGCCAGCAGCCGCGGUAAUACAGAGGGUGCGAGCGUUAAUCGGAUUUACUGGGCGUAAAGCGUACGUAGGUGGUCUUUUAAGUCGGAUGUGAAAUCCCUGAGCUUAACUUAGGAAUUGCAUUCGAUACUGGGAGACUAGAGUAUGGGAGAGGAUGGUAGAAUUCCAGGUGUAGCGGUGAAAUGCGUAGAGAUCUGGAGGAAUACCGAUGGCGAAGGCAGCCAUCUGGCCUAAUACUGACACUGAGGUACGAAAGCAUGGGGAGCAAACAGGAUUAGAUACCCUGGUAGUCC
rnacentral:rRNA from 1 species